ensembl:lncRNA
AUGCAUUUUUGUGGUCUGCUUCAUCAGAUUUUCCUGUACAUAUGUGAAUUUUUGUUGUUGUUAUUUUUAAUCAACAUUUGUUCAGUGGUGGAUAACUUGGAGAUGUGUGCGGAUGUUUUUCUUUUCUUUUUUCUGACAGUCACUGAAUGUACAGAAAGUAUGUUCAGACAUCAAAUCUCUCAAGAACACUGGCUUCUAAAAGCUCAGAACUACAGUCAGGCAGAUCAUCGUUUGGUCUGGGAGGAUGAGUGGCUGGGAUACAGGGUUGAGAGAGAGCGUAUUCUGGACCAGACCAACAUGUGGAUGGUCAUUCGAGAGAAAGGUGUCUACCUGGUCUACAUACAAGCUAACUUCAUUCUUAGGACAGAGAAGAAUAGCAGCUCUACUGUAGAACUGAAAAUUAUAGUGGAUUUAAGUUAUGACGGGAAGAAGGAGAUGUUUUCAGCCGCACAUGACACUCAGGUGGUGAGUGACAACUCUCCAGAUGCAAAGCUCAACACGUUCCUUCUGAUGAAACUGCAAUCAACAAGCCAGUUAUCAGUGAGAGUUUUUCCAAGUCAUUUGGUGAACUACCAACCCAGACCCUUCUCCACUUUUAUCACUAUCAUAAAAUGGGCAGACAACUGGUAGACUGUUGCAUAUAUUGCAGGAGUGAUUGGCUUUCCAGGUGAAAACCAUAUCCAUAUCCAGUUUUUACAAUGACGGUUGUUCUUAUAUUCUUGUUAGCUUUAAAUGUGACAUUUUGAGUGGACGCGGUCUCAAGAUCAGCUGCUAGAACACCUGAGAUUUUCCAGCUGUUGUACUAGGAAAUGCUCGCUGACAUUAACAAGGAUUGCGUGGGGGUUGUGAUACUUUCUUGGUGUUUUUUCUUCUUCCUUUCGAAAUAUGAAGAUCGCAUCUCAUGAUCUUCUCAGAAGCAUGACACAUUUUCCUCUCAACAGAUAUAUGA